ACGGGGCGGACGGCCCGAGGGGAGCCGGGCUCACAGCGCGGGGUUUGGGCACAGCGGGCAGGAACUGGAGAGAGCUGCCCUUAGACGGGACGGACUGCAGAGGAGGCGGCUUCCCUGCAGGGCGGUGCUCGGAGGAAGUAGCACCAAGUCAGAGGAAGCUGUGACUCAGAGGCCGAUGAAUCACUCCUGCUCUGGAUUACACGGCUUUUUUCCUCUUUCUGGGCCUCCAGCACGGACUGAGGAGCCCAAUGUCUCAUUGGAGCACGUUCUGCCAGGAAGGUGCUGGUGGAGGAAGGGUACCUUGCAAUGGGGCUUCAGCCCUCGAGUCACACAAUUGUGGAACCAUUCAGGUUGGAGAAGACCUCUCAGAUCCCUAGUCCAACCCC